rnacentral:rRNA from 1 species
GAUAAACGCUGGCGGCGUGCCUAAUACAUGCAAGUCGAGCGAACGGACGAGAAGCUUGCUUCUCUGAUGUUAGCGGCGGACGGGUGAGUAACACGUGGAUAACCUACCUAUAAGACUGGGAUAACUUCGGGAAACCGGAGCUAAUACCGGAUAAUAUUUUGAACCGCAUGGUUCAAAAGUGAAAGACGGUCUUGCUGUCACUUAUAGAUGGAUCCGCGCUGCAUUAGCUAGUUGGUAAGGUAACGGCUUACCAAGGCAACGAUGCAUAGCCGACCUGAGAGGGUGAUCGGCCACACUGGAACUGAGACACGGUCCAGACUCCUACGGGAGGCAGCAGUAGGGAAUCUUCCGCAAUGGGCGAAAGCCUGACGGAGCAACGCCGCGUGAGUGAUGAAGGUCUUCGGAUCGUAAAACUCUGUUAUUAGGGAAGAACAUAUGUGUAAGUAACUGUGCACAUCUUGACGGUACCUAAUCAGAAAGCCACGGCUAACUACGUGCCAGCAGCCGCGGUAAUACGUAGGUGGCAAGCGUUAUCCGGAAUUAUUGGGCGUAAAGCGCGCGUAGGCGGUUUUUUAAGUCUGAUGUGAAAGCCCACGGCUCAACCGUGGAGGGUCAUUGGAAACUGGAAAACUUGAGUGCAGAAGAGGAAAGUGGAAUUCCAUGUGUAGCGGUGAAAUGCGCAGAGAUAUGGAGGAACACCAGUGGCGAAGGCGACUUUCUGGUCUGUAACUGACGCUGAUGUGCGAAAGCGUGGGGAUCAAACAGGAUUAGAUACCCUGGUAGUCCACGCCGUAAACGAUGAGUGCUAAGUGUUAGGGGGUUUCCGCCCCUUAGUGCUGCAGCUAACGCAUUAAGCACUCCGCCUGGGGAGUACGACCGCAAGGUUGAAACUCAAAGGAAUUGACGGGGACCCGCACAAGCGGUGGAGCAUGUGGUUUAAUUCGAAGCAACGCGAAGAACCUUACCAAAUCUUGACAUCCUUUGACAACUCUAGAGAUAGAGCCUUCCCCUUCGGGGGACAAAGUGACAGGUGGUGCAUGGUUGUCGUCAGCUCGUGUCGUGAGAUGUUGGGUUAAGUCCCGCAACGAGCGCAACCCUUAAGCUUAGUUGCCAUCAUUAAGUUGGGCACUCUAAGUUGACUGCCGGUGACAAACCGGAGGAAGGUGGGGAUGACGUCAAAUCAUCAUGCCCCUUAUGAUUUGGGCUACACACGUGCUACAAUGGACAAUACAAAGGGCAGCGAAACCGCGAGGUCAAGCAAAUCCCAUAAAGUUGUUCUCAGUUCGGAUUGUAGUCUGCAACUCGACUACAUGAAGCUGGAAUCGCUAGUAAUCGUAGAUCAGCAUGCUACGGUGAAUACGUUCCCGGGUUU